rnacentral:rRNA from 1 species
AGGGUUUGAUUAUGGCUCAGAUUGAACGCUGGCGGCAGGCCUAACACAUGCAAGUCGAGCGGUAACAGGAAGUAGCUUGCUACUUCGCUGACGAGCGGCGGACGGGUGAGUAAUGCCUGGGAAUAUGCCUUGAUGUGGGGGAUAACUAUUGGAAACGAUAGCUAAUACCGCAUAAUGCCUACGGGCCAAAGAGGGGGAUCUUCGGGCCUCUCGCGUCAAGAUUAGCCCAGGUGGGAUUAGCUAGUUGGUGGGGUAAAGGCUCACCAAGGCGACGAUCCCUAGCUGGUCUGAGAGGAUGAUCAGCCACACUGGAACUGAGACACGGUCCAGACUCCUACGGGAGGCAGCAGUGGGGAAUAUUGCACAAUGGGGGAAACCCUGAUGCAGCCAUGCCGCGUGUAUGAAGAAGGCCUUCGGGUUGUAAAGUACUUUCAGCAGUGAGGAAGGUGGUGAUGUUAAUAGCAUCAUCAUUUGACGUUAGCUGCAGAAGAAGCACCGGCUAACUCCGUGC